GACUCUAAGCGGUGGAUCACUCGGUUCUCUGGUCGAUGAACAACGCAGCCAGCUGCGAGACUUGGUGUGAAUUGCAGGACACACUGAGAACUUUGAACGCACAUUGCGGCCUUGGGUCUUCCCUUGGCUUCGUCUGUCUAAGGGUCG
rnacentral:rRNA from 1 species